GGGGAAUUUUGGACAAUGGGCGCAAGCCUGAUCCAGCAAUGCCGCGUGCAGGAUGAAGGCCUUCGGGUUGUAAACUGCUUUUGUACGGAGCGAAAAGGUCUGCCCUAAUACGGUGUGCUCAUGACGGUACCGUAAGAAUAAGCACCGGCUAACUACGUGCCAGCAGCCGCGGUAAUACGCAGGGUGCGAGCGGUAAUCGGAAUUACUGGGCGUAAAGCGUGCGCAGGCGGUUAUAUAAGACAGAUGUGAAAUCCCCGGGCUCAACCUAGGACCUGCAUUUGUGACUGUAUAGCUAGAGUACGGUAGAGGGAGAUGGAAUUCCGCAUGUAGCAAUGAAAUGCGUAGAUAUGCGGAGGAACACCGAUAGCGAGGGCAAUCCCCUGGACCUGUACUGACGCUCAUGCACGAAAGCGUGGGGAGCAAACA
rnacentral:rRNA from 1 species